UACGUAGGGUGCGAGCGUUAAUCGGAAUUACUGGGCGUAAAGCGUGCGCAGGCGGCGCGUUAAGACAGGUGUGAAAGCCCCGAGCUUAACUUGGGAAUUGCGCUUGUGACUGGCGAGCUGGAGUGUGGCAGAGGGAGGUGGAAUUCCACGUGUAGCAGUGAAAUGCGUAGAGAUGUGGAGGAACACCGAUGGCGAAGGCAGCCUCCUGGGCCAGCACUGACGCUCAGACACGAAAGCUAGGGGGGCGAACGGG
rnacentral:rRNA from 1 species